GUCUCUGUGGUGCAGUCGGUUAGUGUGUUCGGCUGUUAACCAAAAGGUUGGUGGCUUGAGCCCGUUCAGGGACA
rnacentral:tRNA from 1 species